rnacentral:rRNA from 1 species
AUAGAACGCUGGCGGCAGGCCUAACACAUGCAAGUCGAAGGGGUGGCGGAGUGGUGAGUAAUUUCUGGGGAGCUGGCUGAUGGAGGGGGAUAACUACUGGAAACGGUAGCUAGUACCACAUACCAUCAGAUGUGCCCAGAUGGGAUUAGCUUGUUGGUGGGGUAACGGCUCACCAAGGCGACGAUCCCUAGCUGGUCUGAGAGGAUGACCAGCCACACUGGAACUGAGACACGGUCCAGACUCCUACGGGAGGCAGCAGUGGGGAAUAUUGCACAAUGGGCGCAAGCCUGAUGCAGCCAUGCCGCGUGUAUGAAGAAGGCCUUCGGGUUGUAAAGUACUUUCAGCGGGGAGGCGUUACCCGCAGAAGAAGCACCGGCUAACUCCGUGCCAGCAGCCGCGGUAAUUC